rnacentral:misc_RNA from 1 species
UGUUACUGGGACAAUUGAUGCUG